UACGUAGGGUGCAAGCGUUAAUCGGAAUUACUGGGCGUAAAGCGUGCGCAGGCGGCUUUGCAAGACAGAUGUGAAAUCCCCGGGCUCAACCUGGGAACUGCAUUUGUGACUGCAAGGCUAGAGUACGGUAGAGGGGGAUGGAAUUCCGCGUGUAGCAGUGAAAUGCGUAGAUAUGCGGAGGAACAUCGAUGGCGAAGGCAAUCCCCUGGACCUGUACUGACGCUCAUGCACGAAAGCGUGGGGAGCAAACAGG
rnacentral:rRNA from 1 species